rnacentral:rRNA from 1 species
GAUGAACGCUAGCGGCAGGCUUAAUACAUGCAAGUCGAGGGGCAGCAGGUUUGUAGCAAUACAGAUGCUGGCGACCGGCAAACGGGUGCGGAACACGUACACAACCUUCCUUUAAGUGGGGAAUAGCCCAGAGAAAUUUGGAUUAAUACCCCGUAAUAUUAUGAUGUGGCAUCACAUUAUAAUUAUAGCUCCGGCGCCUAAUGAUGGGUGUGCGGCNGAUUAGGUAGUUGGCGGGGUAACGGCCCACCAAGCCUGCGAUCAGUAACUGGUGUGAGAGCACGACCAGUCACACGGGCACUGAGACACGGGCCCGACUCCUACGGGAGGCAGCAGUAAGGAAUAUU